rnacentral:lncRNA from 1 species
ACAGGACAAUGUUCAUGUCUUUGGCCUCUUGUGGAUUAAAUAUCCAAGUAUUUGACUGAAUUCUUUUUUUUUUUUUUUUGUCUUUUCUAGGGCCGAACCCAAGGCAUAUGGAGGUUCCCUGGCUAGGGGUUGAAUAGGAGCUGUCACCACGGGCCUACACCAUAGCCACUGCAAUGCAAGGAUCCAAGCCGUGUCUGCGACCCACACCACAGCUCACGGCAACGCCGGAUCCUUAACCCACUGAGCAAGGCCAGGGAUUGAACCCAAAACCUUAUAGCUCCUAGUCUGAUUCAUUAACCACUGAGCCACGAUGAGAACUCCUGACUGAAUUCUUAAUUUGUCAUUCUUGUACUGAACCGUGGACUCUCUAGUUUCCCCACUUCUGGAACUGGUACUGCCUCAUCCUGGGCACUCAAGCUUCAAAGGGGAAGCAGGGCUCUUUGCUCUGCCUCUUUGCUGUUCCCCCACGUGUAGUUCAGGGAUAUCAGAAUGGUUGUUGUCUUCCUUUUCCCUCAUGUUCCCAAGAAAUUCCUCCUGGUUCACUGGUGCCUGAAAUUCCAUAAUUUACUGCCUUGGCUUAAAGCCAGGAGAGGGGAAGGGACAUAAAUUUCUUCUUUCCUAGAGCUGACUAUGUGCCAGGUACAUUCUUAUUUAUUCUCCACAUCAAUCUUAUGAAUUAUACUCUUUAAUAAAGGAAGGAACUGAAGCUCAGAGAAGUUGGGUAAUUUUUUCACAGUCACAAAGCAGGUAAAGAGAAGAGAUUAUACCUGAACCCAAGGCGGGUUAACUCUAAAAUCUGUGAUAUACCUACUACUCUAGGCUAAUAUUUUUGUUGGCCUAGCAAUGUAUUAAGUAUUUGUCUCAUUUGAUAUUUAUUCUCAGAGUAAAUAUGUUUAUCAGUGUACUGCUGAUGAAGGUACCCUACCCAUUUCUCCUCAUGCCUUAACAUUGAAUUCCAUCACGGUCCACGAACAUAUUUUGUAUGUUUUCAAUUAUGUUGAAUUAUAAAGGCUUGUUUAACGACCCAGGAUAUAGUCUCUGCUGGUAAAUACUUGAUGUGCAGGUAAAAAGAAUGUUUAUUUUAUUGUUGUUCAGUGGAGCGUUCUAUAUUUAUGCUUGACAUUUGUCAAGUUGGGCACAGCUGAUUGAUGGUGUUGUUGAAUUCUUCUAAAUCCUUGCUGAUUUUCUAUUGGUUCUCCUCAUUACUGAGAGAGGAGUAUUAAAGUCUCCAACUAAAAUUACACAUUUGUUCAAGUAGCCUUUAAGUUCUGUCAGUUUUUGCUUCCCGUAUUUUGAAGCUCUGUUGUUAGAUGCAUAUUUGUUCAACCACAUCCUUGCAUGUGAGCUGUGACUUGAAACAUAAGAUGCAAUUUCAAAUGUGCCAAAGCCGGGAAGAACAUUCCAGGAAGUAGGAAUAACUAUGGCAAAGGAACAGCAUGACAGGAUCCAUGAAUAAAUGACAAGCAAACACCAUGUUGAUAGAGUAGACGAUGAGAGGCAGAAAUCAGCCACAAAAUUCACUGUAUUUUAUUUUGCCAAAUUUUCUUUCUUUUUUUUUUUUCCUUUUUUUUUUUUCUUUUUGGGGCUGCACCUGUGGCAUAUGGAAGUUCCCAGCCUAGGGAUGAAAUUGGAGCUUCAGCUGCCACCUACACCACAGCCACUGCAAUACCGGAUCCAAGCCACAUCUGUGACCUACACCACAGCUCACGGCAACGCCAGGUCUUUAACCCACUGAGUGAGGUGAGGGAUCAAACCUGCAUCCUCAUGGAUACCAGUUGGAUUUGUUUCCACUGUACCACAACAGAAACUCCCUAUUUUGCCAACUUUUGACCUGACUUACUCACAAUGAAGCUAAGUGAAUUAUCUGGUUUAGCUCCAAAGCGUGUUAUGUGGGCAGUAGAGCAUGAUUCUAGAACCAGUUUGCCUGAGUCCAAUCUCUCUCUCUCUCUCUCUCUCUCUCUUUUUUUUUUUUUUUGUCUUUUUGCCGUUUCUUGGGCUGCUCCUGCGGCACAUGGAGGUUCCCAGGCUAGGGGGUCUAAUCGGAGCUGUAGCCACUGGCCUAUGCCAGAGCCACAGCAAUGUGGGAUCUGAGCCACAUCUGCGACCUACACCACAGUUGAUGGCAACGCCAGAUCCUUAACCCACUGAGCAAGGGCAGAGAUCGAACCUGCAACCUCAUGGUUCCUAGUCAGAGUCAUUAACCACUGAGCCACGACGGGAACUCCAUGAGUCCAACCUCUUAUUUCAACAUUCUCUUAGCUGAGUGGACUUGAGCAAGUUCCUUUAAUUUUUUGGUGUCUCAUUUUCUUAUCUGUAAUAGCAGAGCUUCAAAAUACACAGAAUUGUUCUCAUAAUAACAAGACCACUUCAAAGGUUUAUUGUAAAGAUCAAAUGAGUUGACCCAUGCAAAUUGCUUAGAAUGGUGUCUGGAAAAUGGUUAUCACUCAACCGACGAUGUUUGUUUAUUUCAAAAAACAACUGUCUGAAUUAGUGGCAUGAACCAGGGACGUUGUUUUAGUUUCCUGGGGCUGCCAAAACUAAGUGUCACAAAGUGAGUGGCUUUAAACAACAAAAAUGUGUUCUCCCACAGUUUUGGGGACUAGAAGUUUGCAAUCAAAGUGUUGGCAGAGCCAGGCCCUCUUUGACAUCUCUGGCGGAAGACCCUGUCUGCUUUCUCCCAGCUUCCAGUGGUUGCUGGCCAUUCUUGGGGCUCUUUGGCUUGUGAGAGCAUAACUCCAAUCUCAGCCUUUGUCUUCAUGUGGUCUUCUUUCCUCCAUGACUUUGUUUCCAAAUGUCCCCCUUCUUAUAUGGAUGGCAAUCAUUGGAUUAGAGCCACCCUCAUCCAGCAUGACCUCAUCUUCACCUGGUUACAGCUGCAAAUACCCUAUUUCAAAAUUAGGUCACAUUGGAGUUCCCACUGUGGCUCAGUGAUAAUGAACCUGACUAGUAUCCAUGAGGAUGGGGGUUUGAUCCCGGGCCCCGGUCAGUGCGUUAAGUAUGUGGCGUCACCGUGAGCCUGACCUUUUUGCAUUAUGUCUGUACUGUUGGCUCUUCAUUUCUCUAGCUAAUCCUUUCUUUUUCUUUAAGGCUCAUAUCACUAAUCACAGCUCUAUACACUCGUUCAAAGCAAGGUCUUGGAGCAUGCAAGUUUCACUAAUUGACUUCUUUAGAGGGCUUUGCUUCCCUCCAACACACUCUACAAAAUGUGGGCUGCCUUUGCGUGUUAACGGGAAUGGCUACCCAAUGCUCUGUCCCCAUCUGUCUGUUUCUCUGUCCUUCUCUCUCUAACCCAAGCACUGUUUUCCCAAUGUCUGUAAUCUCCACACUAUCACGAGGCCUCUUUUCUGCUUUCUCGAUUCCCACUUAUGCAUUUGCUCUGUAGUUGGGUGGUAAGAUGAGUGGGGUGUUAGUGUACUUAGUUUGAUAAUACGUAGAAGCUUAAGUGAUAAUGGAAUGUACAGUUCUUAUAUUACUGAGCCUUGGAUUCUUAAGUCCAUUAACCUCCGGCCCCUUUUCUGCCAGGAUUCAACAAAAAAGAAGUCAAAAGUUGCAUUGCGGCGUAGGAGGAAAUUGACUGUGUAAAUGCAGAUUCUUCUAGGCAUUAAAACGAAGGCUCAGAUGCUGACCCCGUUGUGUCCUGCAAUCAUUUCUUUUGAGAAGAGGGUCAGUAGGCUGUUUUCACUGAGCAUAUUUUUAGACACUUUGCCAUUAAAUCCAGUUUUGCAGGUGCUCAGGGUAAAACCAUGGUCAUGGCCAACUUUCACUUUGCUGCCUUCACAACCCCCAUCUGAUUCCUCCCCCUAUUUGACAGUCCUUUCUCUUCCCAGGGCCCCCCUGGCACUCAUUCCCUUUGAGGGUUCCUCCUGCUUCAGACCCCCCCCAUAUCGCAAAGCGAGGGCCUGUCCUGUGUUCUGUUCCCUCAGGGCUGAAACAACACAGAGCCCUGGAAUUUUCAAGCUGAAAGGCCUCUAGAGAUAAUUUUGAUGGAUUAAUUUUAGUUCAGUGUAGGAUAGAGGAUAUUCAGGAAUAUCUUAUUUUAUUGCACUUCACAUUAUUGUGCUUUGCAGAUAUUGGGGGGGGGUGUUUUGUUUUAACAAAUUGAAGGUUUGUGGCCAUCCCACAAAGAGCAAGACUAUGGGUGCCAUUUUUCCAACAACGUUUGCUCACUUCUUGUCUUUGUGUUAUAUUUUGAUAAUUCUCACAAUAUUUCUUUUUCAUUAUUAACAUUUGUUGUGGUGAUCAGUGAUAUUUGACGUUACUAUUGCAAAAUGACUAUGAGUUGCUAAAGGCUCAGAUGAUGGAUAGCAUUUUUUAAGCAUGUGGUAUUUUUUGUUUUUCUUUUUAGGGCUGCACCCUCAACAUAUGAAAGUUCUGGCGCCAGGAGUCAAAAGAGAGUUACAGCUGGCAGCCUACACCACAGCCACACAGCAACGCUGAAUCCUUAACCCACUGAGCAAGGCCAGAGAUCGAACCCACACCCUCACAAACACUUUGUCGGGUUCUUAACCUGCUGAGCCACAGUGGGAACUCACCAAUGCUCUUUUGAGGGAGGGAAAUAGGUUUUGAAAUUACUGGGUUGGGGGGCUAUAAUGUCAAUCUCUUAGAUUAUUCCGUGGCUUUGUGUUCUUCAUGCAUUUCUCAUUUUUAGGGUCCUAUCAUUUAGUUUUUACACAUACAAUGUGCACUUAGUCUCAGUAUGUCUUGCUGUUGAUAACUAGUGAACACGAUGAAAUCUAUUUUGGGAAAUGCUGGUACUUUCUCUGUUCAGCUGGUCAGGAGCGGGGUGGAGGCGGGCAGUGCAGAGGCUGUGAGGAGCUGAAGGCUGGGGGGGCAGCACCUUUCUGAGCUAUGAGGCAUCUUUGGUCCUGUGUACCCCAUGACUCACAGACAUGGGUCCCACGGCAAGAAUGGAACAAUACUUGCUUUAGACAAAACCCACCCACAGUGAACUCUAUUUAUCAUUCUGCCUCUGGAAUCCCGACAGGGAAAAUGCUGCCUCGGGGUUGCCACGUUGCAAAUUACAACAGCCCACUCUCAGGGAACCAUAAAUAUUUGGAAUUUGAAGUGGGUUGGAU